rnacentral:lncRNA from 1 species
AGUUUUAUUUAUGGCUAAAUAAGAGUGCACUGUCACUAACACAACUACUAUUUCUCUUGGUCUUAGUGGCAUUUAUUUUCAACUGGAUUGGAUUUUGUUUAUCCUUCUGUAUAACUAACACCAUAGCAGGAAGGUAUGGUGCAAUCUGUGGAUUUGGCCUAUCGCUGAUCAAAUGGAUUCUCAUUGUACGGUUCUCAGACUACUUUACUGGAUAUUUCAAUGGACAGUACUGGCUUUGGUGGAUAUUUCUUGUACUUGGUCUCCUCCUGUUCUUCCGAGGGUUUGUCAAUUACCUUAAAGUCAGAAACAUGUCUGAAAGCAUGGCAGCUGCUCAUAGAACAAGAUUUUUCUUCUUGUAUUAGAGACUGCAUCAACCAGACAUUCCUUUCCUUUACCAAUGUGAAAUUUCCAGAUGAUCGGUAACCCUCCAAGUUAAUAAGAUAGAAGACUACUAAAAACAGAAGACAAAGUUUUGAAGAAAAGAUAUAGCUUCUAAAAUGAAUGACAGGGUGGUUUUUGCUUAAGUGCCAGUUCUGUUCAUUCUAGUAAAUAUUUAUAUUAAGUGUUUCCUUUGUUUUUGCACAUUUGCAUAUGUGCUAACUAAAGGAUAGGAUUGAAAUGAAAACAAACCAUACAUACAGUCUAAUUAUAGAGCUUAAGUACUGUCAGACUUGGUUAAUCUGUGUUUGUUGUUUGUGAAAGCUUUAAGUGGCAGUUUGUCUCAUAGCAUGUAUGUGCCAUUGUCUUGUUGAUAUGAAGUUAAAUUGAAAGUAAAAAUGGAAUACAGUAAAUGAUUCAGAUUAACCAGGUCAGACUUAUAGUUAGUUUUUUUUAUAUAAUUUAGGUUCAUCUAAUGAUUGUGCAACAUGCAACCUUUUUGUUAUAAAGUUUACUAAAACUUGCAGCUUCUGAUCAUAAUAAACCUGUAUUGAUCGGCUUUUAUGAAACUCUC